rfam:Schistosoma rodhaini strain Burundi genome assembly, scaffold: SROB_scaffold0000816
AUCCAGCUGACGAGUCUCAAAUAGGACAAAACGUGAGUCAAACUGGAU